GCCGAUCUUCCAGCAACUGACAAUCUUGCAGAUUCUCUCCAGAAGGGGAAUAGCACUUUUGGGAAUGUUGUUGUGAACUCUUUUACACCUGCGCAAACUACAACAACCACAACAACAUCAACCACAGCAUCAAGUGGAGCAACCCUCAAGAUCAGCUUUGGCAAUACAUUUUUCUUCAUGUUUCUGUCUUAUCUACUGGCACAUCUACUGUAGAAUACAGCAUGAUCUGCACAUUUAUCAUCACACAUUCUGUUUCCAGGUGUGUAUAAAAACCUGCAGUUUGUUUCAUUUUCACAUUAUGUAUGUCUUUUAGCAGAAAAAUAAUAUAUAAUAAUAAUAAUAAUAAUUCUGCAUUAGCCUUGUUUACCAGACCCUUGUUAGUGAAAUGCUGCUUCUAUAUCCAUAGCUGCCCUAAGGUAGACAUAGGGGAGCAAGCCUGCCUAACUUCACCAGCUCUUGAAGUUUUGUUAAUCACAUUUUUGUUUUAAAAUUAAAAUAAACUAUUAUCAUAAUCAA